rnacentral:rRNA from 1 species
GACGAACGCUGGCGGCGUGCUUAACACAUGCAAGUCGAACGGAAAGGCCCUGCUUUUGUGGGGUGCUCGAGUGGCGAACGGGUGAGUAACACGUGAGUAACCUGCCCUUGACUUUGGGAUAACUUCAGGAAACUGGGGCAAAUACCGAUUAGGAGUUCCUGCUGAAGGGUGGGGUUUGAAAAGUUUCGGCGGUUGGGGUUGGACUCGCGGCUUAUCAGCUUGUUGGUGGGGUAGUGGCUUACCAAGGCUUUGCCGGGUAGCCGGCCUGAGAGGGUGACCGGCCACAUUGGGACUGAGAUACGGCCCAGACUCCUACGGGAGGCAGCAGUGGGGAAUAUUGCACAAUGGGCGGAAGCCUGAUGCAGCAACGCCGCGUGCGGGAUGACGGCCUCCGGGUUGUAAACCGCUUUCGCCUGUGACGAAGCGUGAGUGACGGUAAUGGGUAAAGAAGCACCGGCUAACUACGUG